GAUGAGACUAGCCCCUUAAGUUGCUGCUAACACUUCUACUGCAUGGGCUUAAAAUGAAAAUGAAGCAGUUGCUUGGAAACCCUCCUCCUCUUUGCGCCACUUAUUUUACUUUUUCAAGAUGUCUUUUUCCAGACUAUUAAUUUUGUAGGCAUUUCCUUAUAAUUCGCACAUGUUGCAUGGGGACAGCUUUGGUGUAUUUAGCAGCUAAAACCAGAACCAAUUUCAGCCACACUCUGGACAGAGCUGAAGUCAGCCCUCCAGGGUUUAUACCUUAUUGAAGGGAUAUGCAGAAAGUGGAUAAACUAUGUGCCAAGAAAUCCUAAUUCGAACAUCUCUGAAAUUAUCACAAAGGACUACCAUCCACCUGAGCUGCCUGGGCCUUCUUUUUUCACCUGAAAAUUUAGUUUGGAAUUUGAAGACUUUGGAGAUUUUGGAAGGUUUUAAGCAUCUGGAAAUCCUGGAGAUGCAGUACCUUGCACAGGCUGUGUGCCCAGGCAGCUCUACAGGGCCUGGAGACCCACCUCACUGAGCCUCCUCUGCCCAGAGCAUCUGGACCUGCUCCUCCCCAGGAUGUCCUGGUUAGAGGGGCUGCAGAACAGCCCUUCCAGCCUGGACUCACACAGAUGCUACAGCUCAAAUUUCCAUAUCACAGAAAGCUGGCAGGAAUACACAUCAGCAGUGCUGAAAUAUGGCUGGAAGCUGUGUGCAUCCAUCGGGAUCAGUGUGCUAGCAUUCCCUCGCUCAGCAGGGGUGUGAUGAGUUCUUCAUUAAUAUUAGCUCUGGAAGGAGCAGAUGGUGCCAAGAUCUUACACCUCAGAGCCAGAAUUACAGUUUGGAGCCAGCUGCAUCGUUUUCAUUAGCUGGAGUUUCACAGGCCCCUUCCAGCCUUCACUUACCUUUGUAAGUGGGAUGAGAGUGCCAGCUCAAUGAACUGAUGUGUUAAACAUGAAUAAUGUGUUGAAUGAUUAUCCUAAGCAACACUACUGACUGAUGAGGUAGUGCCACGUUCCCAGCCUCUCUCUAGCUGAUGGCAUAUGUUGCUUUCACCAAUAAAAUCUGUAGACUCUAGAAAACUGGCUCUCAAGUUGCCUGGAGAAAGCCAUAAGCAGCAGCAGGAAUGUUCAAGGGUUGGAUGGCAAGAAAACCUCUGGCAGUUCUACA